CCUACGGGAGGCAGCAGUGGGGAAUUUUGGACAAUGGGCGCAAGCCUGAUCCAGCAAUGCCGCGUGCAGGAUGAAGGCCUUCGGGUUGUAAACUGCUUUUGUACGGAACGAAACGGCCCUUUCUAAUACAAGGGGCUAAUGACGGUACCGUAAGAAUAAGCACCGGCUAACUACGUGCCAGCAGCCGCGGUAAUACGUAGGGUGCGAGCGUUAAUCGGAAUUACUGGGCGUAAAGCGUGCGCAGGCGGUUAUAUAAGACAGAUGUGAAAUCCCCGGGCUCAACCUGGGACCUGCAUUUGUGACUGUAUAGCUAGAGUACGGUAGAGGGGGAUGGAAUUCCGCGUGUAGCAGUGAAAUGCGUAGAUAUGCGGAGGAACACCGAUGGCGAAGGCAAUCCCCUGGACCUGUACUGACGCUCAUGCACGAAAGCGUGGGGAGCAAACAGGAUUAGAUACCCUGGUAGUCCACGCCCUAAACGAUGUCAACUGGUUGUUGGGUCUUCACUGACUCAGUAACGAAGCUAACGCGUGAAGUUGACCGCCGNGGGAGGUACGGUCCGGCGAGUUAGUUAACGUACGAAAGAAGUUAGACGGCGNGAGACGNGCGACGGACGACGACGAGGGAGGAGG
rnacentral:rRNA from 1 species